ensembl:lncRNA novel transcript
AGGUCUUCUCUAUAGCUCCAGGUUUCCAAAGUAACAACUGUGCAUCUUCUCCUCCAGUCAACAAAGAAUCAUCUUGCACAUUCCAACAGAAAGAACGGACUGUAGCAGCAUGCCCUCCCUGAAGGCUAGUCACAUGGGCCACCAAUCAAAUAGUCCAAAGCAUCUUCUUUCAUGUUAACUACUUCUCUGACAUCCUGGAUGUUCAAACGUGUAACUGGUUCAUCAGUGUCCAGAUGAUUAAGAUCCCACCAAUAAAAUCCUUCAUCAUGUGUCAUGCAGUAAA